AAUCUCAAUCCCAUCUGGUUUAUGAUCAGGUGUCGGACUUGGACGUGGGCGUCUGCCGGUUACACGGCUCGCCUCAAAUGACUUAGUGGGAUCGCUAGCAUCCGUGACAGACGUAAUAAGUUUCGUCUUGUCCCUUGCGUGCGUCAAGCCUGCUCAGAACCCCGCUUGCCUCUGUGCAACACUUUUUUGA
rnacentral:misc_RNA from 1 species